UCAUUAGGCGCGUGGUUUCGGGGGUGCUACCGUAAAGGUGCAUGAGUGGUGUUUGGUGUGUUACGGGKGGUUGGCUCUUUGCUUGCGCAACAACUUCCACCUGGCAUACCUCUUCAUUUUUGUUUCAAUGCUUGUGUUGCAUUGAUUGCACGAAGGGUUUCCUGUGUUGCADGCCUAAGCGAUGGUAUCGUUUGACGGAUCUGUGAAUAUCUUUGUCCUGUGUUGCACCUGCGAUACGAGAWGAACCUAAUAGCAGGCUUUGUGAUCCAAUCUUUCUUUGCUCACGCAUCGAUUUUGUGGCUCAWDGAGWRUUUGCUUGGUCUCAUGGAUAUGGAACUUUUUGUGGGCAUGUGAUCUUUUGCUAGUUCAUUGUUUGCCCHCGUUAAGCUUCAUYAAAUACGAUUUCCUGUCAUGUGUUAACAUGGUAGGAUACAYCG
rnacentral:misc_RNA from 1 species